AUGAGACUCUUGCUUCCCUUUAAAAGAGGCAGACCCCUACUUCAAUUGUCAUCUGACGCCUCUACCCCAGCUGUGGACUCAGACCUCUCACAACCAAAAAAAAGAAAAUCAAAAUCAAACGAAUCCGAAUAUAACCAAUCUAUCACCUUUGAUGACUCGUUGACAGCCUCCUCAACCCAAGCAUCCAUCUCCUGCUCCAGACAUCGGCGCUUGCCCGCACUAGUCCAUGAAAGGUGGAUGAAGGUGAGUUUGACUACGAACUCGAGGAUGCUGGGAACGAUCUCUUUUCGGGGAAUCACUCCCGUCGAGAGGCCCUCUUCCUUCAUUUUUCUGAAUCUGGUAGAGAGGCAAAAGAGAAGUCCAGAGAGACCUCGACUCUUUCAGGGAAAGAAGGGAGAUCGAAUGCGAGAUGGAGUCCCUGCCGAAUGGAAUGGACAUCCUUGGGGACAGCUGUGUAAGACUUAA
rnacentral:rRNA from 1 species